UACAGAGGGGGCAAGCGUUAUUCGGAAUUAUUGGGCGUAAAGGGCGCGUAGGCGGCUUGGCAAGUGGAUGGUGAAAUCCCUCGGCUUAACCGAGGAACUGCCGUCCAAACUGCUUUGCUUGAGACCGGGAGAGGUGAGUGGAAUUCCCAGUGUAGCGGUGAAAUGCGUAGAUAUUAGGAAGAACACCAGUGGCGAAGGCGGCUCACUGGUCCGGUACUGACGCUGAGGUGCGAAAGCGUGGGGGAGCAAAACAGGG
rnacentral:rRNA from 1 species